GUCAUCCAUCGUUUUAUGAUCCAGGUAUAUCGUCACGCAAUCGUCGUACGCGAAUUCGCGUUUACACGUCGGACACGUCGCCUCGCCGCAAUCGUCGCGUCGUCCUCGUCCUCCCCUUUCCUCCCUCGCCCGUCGCCGCGUCUCCACGUCGUGCCACUUCGAGAUGCAUCGCACGUGAUACACGUGUCCGCAUCCUCGCAGCGCCUGUCGCGCGACGCCCGUCGCCCGCGUCGCUCGUCGUCAGUCGUUCGUUCGCGUCGCAUCCGUCAAACGUUCGUUUCAAAUCGCGCCUUCGUCUGUUCGUCAUCGGCGUCGUUCGUCGCGUCGCGUCGCGUCGUUCGGUUCGUCGCGCGCGCACGCACCACACACUUCCCCGCGCACGUCUCCAGGCACACCGCGCACCGCGACAUCGCGCCGCGCCG
rnacentral:lncRNA from 1 species